GACGAACGCUGGCGGCGUGCUUAGCACAUGCAAGUCGAACGGAAAGGCCCUGCUUUUGUGGGGUGCUCGAGUGGCGAACGGGUGAGUAACACGUGAGUAACCUGCCCUUGACUUUGGGAUAACUUCAGGAAACUGGGGCUAAUACCGGAUAGGAGCUCCUGCUGCAUGGUGGGGGUUGGAAAGUUUCGGCGGUUGGGGAUGGACUCGCGGCUUAUCAGCUUGUUGGUGGGGUAGUGGCUUACCAAGGCUUUGACGGGUAGCCGGCCUGAGAGGGUGACCGGCCACAUUGGGACUGAGAUACGGCCCAGACUCCUACGGGAGGCAGCAGUGGGGAAUAUUGCACAAUGGGCGGAAGCCUGAUGCAGCAACGCCGCGUGCGGGAUGACGGCCUUCGGGUUGUAAACCGCUUUCGCCUGUGACGAAGCGUGAGUGACGGUAAUGGAUAAAGAAGCACCGGCUAACUACGUG
rnacentral:rRNA from 1 species